GGAUGGAUUGGCUCAGUGGUUAGAGCUUAGGUGUCAUAAUCGAAAGGUCGCGGGAUUGAAUCCCGCUAGAGACU
rnacentral:tRNA from 1 species